rnacentral:rRNA from 1 species
UACGUAGGGUGCAAGCGUUGUCCGAAAUUAUUGGGCGUAAAGAGCUCGUAGGCGGUCUGUCGCGUCUGCUGUGAAAACUCGGGGCUUAACCCCGGGCCUGCAGUGGGUACGGGCAGACUAGAGUGCGGUAGGGGAGACUGGAAUUCCUGGUGUAGCGGUGAAAUGCGCAGAUAUCAGGAGGAACACCGGUGGCGAAGGCGGGUCUCUGGGCCGUAACUGACGCUGAGGAGCGAAAGCGUGGGGAGCGAACAGG